rnacentral:rRNA from 1 species
GAUGAACGCUGGCGGCGUGCCUAAUACAUGCGAGUCGAGCGAACGGACGAGAAGCUUGCUUCUCUGAUGUUAGCGGCGGACGGGUGAGUAACACGUGGAUAACCUACCUAUAAGACUGGGAUAACUUCGGGAAACCGUAGCUAAUACCGGAUAAUAUUUUGAACCGCAUGGUUCAAAAGUGAAAGACGGUCUUGCUGUCACUUAUAGAUGGAUCCGCGCUGCAUUAGCUAGUUGGUAAGGUAACGGCUUACCAAGGCAACGAUGCAUAGCCGACCUGAGAGGGGGAUCGGCCACACGGGCACGGAGACGCGGACCAGACGACUGCGGGAGGGAGCAGUGGGGAAUGUGGCGCAAUGGGCGAAAGCAUGACGAAGCAAGGCCGAGUGAGUGGUGAAGGUGUUCGGAUCGUAAAACUGUGUUAUUAGGGAAGAACAUAUGUGUAAGGAAAUGUGCACAGCGUGACGGUACCUAAUCAGAAAGCAACGGCUAACUACGUG